GAUGAACGCUGGCGGCGUGCCUAAUACAUGCAAGUCGAGCGAACAGAUGAGGAGCUUGCUCCUCUGACGUUAGCGGCGGACGGGUGAGUAACACGUGGAUAACCUACCUAUAAGACUGGGAUAACUUCGGGAAACCGGAGCUAAUACCGGAUAAUAUAUUGAACCGCAUGGUUCAAUAGUGAAAGACGGUUUUGCUGUCACUUAUAGAUGGAUCCGCGCCGCAUUAGCUAGUUGGUAAGGUAACGGCUUACCAAGGCAACGAUGCGUAGCCGACCUGAGAGGGUGAUCGGCCACACUGGAACUGAGACACGGUCCAGACUCCUACGGGAGGCAGCAGUAGGGAAUCUUCCGCAAUGGGCGAAAGCCUGACGGAGCAACGCCGCGUGAGUGAUGAAGGUCUUAGGAUCGUAAAACUCUGUUAUUAGGGAAGAACAAAUGUGUAAGUAACUAUGCACGUCUUGACGGUACCUAAACAGAAAGCCACGGCUAACUACGUG
rnacentral:rRNA from 1 species